UUCUUAAAGCUGAGCAAAUAACUAUAGGAGAAGCUUUACUAUGUUACCAUGAAACUGAAAUUCACACAGUACAUUUGGCUUGCCAGGAUUAGAACUACAAAGGCAAAAACAAAAUAAGACUAGCUUCCAGAUUCCUACUUCUGGCUCUAAAACAGGUCAAGACUGAUAUGCACAGAGUACAGUCCAUCUAUGAAGCCACACAGUAAUUAACACCUUAACACACCUAAGUACCAUAAAGAUAUUUAGACCCUUCAGUCCAUUAUCCUACCCUGAAGAACUUAAGAAACAAUUUAACGGAAGUAAAACUAUAUUUAUACCCAGUGAUUCACUGAAGCACAGUCUUUGAGGGAAGGAAGAGAAAAGGAAAUGAACCAGAUGCCCACUGUGAAGAAGAGCGUUCAGCUAACUGUGCUAUGACACAGUGGAACACGGCAAAGCCACUACAUGCUGACAUUACAGUCUUGGCAGGCUAACGACAAAAAGUAACAGAACAUUUAGUGAAAAGAA
rnacentral:lncRNA from 1 species